rnacentral:rRNA from 1 species
AUUGAACGCUGGCGGCAGGCCUAACACAUGCAAGUCGAGCGAGCGGCGGACGGGUGAGUAAUGUCUGGGAAACUGCCUGAUGGAGGGGGAUAACUACUGGAAACGGUAGCUAAUACCGCAUACCAUCAGAUGUGCCCAGAUGGGAUUAGCUAGUGGGUGAGGUAUCGGCUCACCUAGGCGACGAUCCCUAGCUGGUCUGAGAGGAUGUCCAGCCACCCUUGAACUGAGACACGGCCCAGACUCCUACGGUAGGCAGUAGUGGGGAAUAUUGCACAAUGGGCGCAAGCCUGAUGCAGCCAUGCCGCGUGGUUGAAGAAGGCCUUCGGGUUGUAAAGCACUUUCAGCGGGGAGGCGUUACCCGCAGAAGAAGCACCGGCUAACUCCGUGCCAGCAGCCGCGGUAAUUC